rnacentral:rRNA from 1 species
AGUGAACGCUGGCGGUAGGCCUAACACAUGCAAGUCGAACGGCAGCACAGUAAGAGCUUGCUCUUACGGGUGGCGAGUGGCGGACGGGUGAGGAAUACAUCGGAAUCUACUUUUUCGUGGGGGAUAACGUAGGGAAACUUACGCUAAUACCGCAUACGACCUACGGGUGAAAGUAGGGGAUCUUCGGACCUUGCGCGAUUGAAUGAGCCGAUGUCGGAUUAGCUAGUUGGCGGGGUAAAGGCCCACCAAGGCGACGAUCCGUAGCUGGUCUGAGAGGAUGAUACGCCCCACUGGAACUGGGACACGGUCCCGCCUCCUACGGGAGGCAGCAGUGGGGAAUAUUGGACAAUGGGCGCAAGCCUGAUCCAGCCAUACCGCGUGGGUGAAGAAGGCCUUCGGGUUGUAAAGCCCUUUUGUUGGGAAAGAAAAGCAGCAGGUUAAUACCCCGCUGUUCUGACGGUACCCAAAGAAUAAGCACCGGCUAACUUCGUG